GGUAGGGUGCCAAUGUCCGCCGCGUGCGUGUGCAGCGGCGCCCUGCCAUCCUUCUGUUAACCUUUCUGGUAUUGAUUUACUGGUUGGGGGCUCAGAUAUUUUACCUUGAGAAAAUUAGAGUGUUUCAGGCAGGCUUGCGCCCGAAUACAUUAGCAUGGAAUAAUAGAAUAGGACUUUGGACUCCUUUGUUGGUUUGAGGGUCUAGAGUA
rnacentral:rRNA from 1 species